rnacentral:rRNA from 1 species
UACGGAAGGCAGCAGUGGGGAAUAUUGCACAAUGGGCGAAAGCCUGAUGCAGCUAUGCCGCGUGUAUGAAGAAGGCCUUAGGGUUGUAAAGUACUUUCAUCGGGGAGGAAAACAAAACUAAUAAUUUUAUUUCUUGACGUUACCCGAAAAAGAAGCACCGGCUAACUCCGUGCCAGCAGCCGCGGUAAUACGGAGGGUGCUAGCGUUAAUCAGAAUUACUGGGCGUAAAGAGCACGUAGGUGGUUUUUUAAGUCAGAUGUGAAAUCCCCUGGGCUUAACCUAGGAACUGCAUUUUGAAACUGAAAUACUAGAGUAUCGUAGAGGGAGGUAGAAUUCUAGGUGUAGCGGUGAAAUGCGUAGAUAUCUGGAGGAAUACCUGUGGCGAAAAGCGGCCUCCUAAAACGAUACUGACACUGAGGUGCGAAAAGCGUGGGGAGCAAACAGGGAUUAGAUACC